UGCUGCGGUUAAAAAGCUCGUAGUUGGAUCUGCGUCUCAGGACCUGGUCCAUCCAUUGGAUGAGAACUGGGCUCCUAGGCUAAUAUUGCCAGUUUUCCCUACGUUACCUUGAUCGGUUGCGUAGGGUGGCCAGCAAGUUUACCUUGAAAAAAUUAGAGUGCUCAAUGCGGGCUAAUGCCUGAAUACUCGUGCAUGGAAUAAUGAAAUAGGAUCUCGGUUCUAUUUUGUUGGUUUUCUGAUCUGAGAUAAUGGUUAAGAGGGACGGACGGGGGCAUUCGUAUCGCUGCGUGAGAGGUGAAAUUCUUGGACCGUAGCGAGACGUCCAACUGCGAAAGCAUUUGCCAAGAAUGUCUUCAUUAAUCAAGAACGAAAGUCAGAGGUUCGAAGGCGAUCAGAUACCGCCCUAGUUCUGACCGUAAACGAUACCAACUAGCGUUCCGUCGGCGGUAAAUACGCCUUGACGGGCAGCUUCCCGGAAACGAAAGUUUUUCGGUUCCGGGGGAAGUAUGGUUGCAAAGCUGAAACUUAAAGAAAUUGACGGAAGGGCACCACCAGGAGUGGAGCCUGCGGCUUAAUUUGACUCAACACGGGAAAACUCACCUGGCCCGGACACCGUGAGGAUUGACAGAUUGAGAGCUCUUUCAUGAUUCGGUGGUUGGUGGUGCAUGGCCGUUCUUAGUUGGUGGAGUGAUUUGUCUGGUUUAUUCCGAUAACGAGCGAGACUCUAGCCUACUAAAUAGUUACUGGAUAAUUUAGUCCAGAAAACUUCUUAGAGGGACAAGCGGUGUUUAGCCGCAUGAAGUUGAGCAAUAACAGGUCUGUGAUGCCCUUAGAUGUCCAGGGCUGCACGCGCGCUACACUGGAGGAAUCAGCGUGCUGUAACCAUUACCGAAAGGUAUUGGUAACCCCUUGAAAAUCCUCCGUGAUCGGGAUCGGGAAUUGCAAUUAUUUCCCUUGAACGAGGAAUUCCUAGUAAGUGUGAGUCAUCAGCUCACGUUGAUUACGUCCCUGCCCUUUGUACACACCGCCCGUCGCUGCCCGGGACUGAGCCGUUUCGAGAAAAGCGGAGACUGCUGUUUCAAUACCUUUCGGGGUGGAGAUUCUUUGGUGGAAACCGCU
rnacentral:rRNA from 1 species